AUCCCUUCUCCGUCGGCUGCUUUACUGGCGGCGAAAUUUCUGUUUGAUUAUUUUCAGCAGCGUACCACAGGAGACAAAUAUAAACAAGAAAAACAGCGCUCAUUCCGACGCAAGGGAGAAAAAGAGCCAAAAAGACAGAGAGGAGCAUGUUUUGGUUGGAGGAUGGAGAGAGGUUGUUCACGGGGGCUGGCGGCCGAGAGGGAGAGGGAGAGGGGAUGAGCGGCGCGUAGUGCACACCAUCGCGCAUUAUAGGGGAGGAGGAG
rnacentral:lncRNA from 1 species